AUUGAACGCUGGCGGCAGGCCUAACACAUGCAAGUCGAGCGGAUGAAGGGAGCUUGCUCCUGGAUUCAGCGGCGGACGGGUGAGUAAUGCCUAGGAAUCUGCCUGGUAGUGGGGGAUAACGUCCGGAAACGGGCGCUAAUACCGCAUACGUCCUGAGGGAGAAAGUGGGGGAUCUUCGGACCUCACGCUAUCAGAUGAGCCUAGGUCGGAUUAGCUAGUUGGUGGGGUAAAGGCCUACCAAGGCGACGAUCCGUAACUGGUCUGAGAGGAUGAUCAGUCACACUGGAACUGAGACACGGUCCAGACUCCUACGGGAGGCAGCAGUGGGGAAUAUUGGACAAAGGGCGAAAGCCUGAUCCAGCCAUGCCGCGUGUGUGAAGAAGGUCUUCGGAUUGUAAAGCACUUUAAGUUGGGAGGAAGGGCAGUAAGUUAAUACCUUGCUGCUUUGACGUUACCAACAGAAUAAGCACCGGCUAACUUCGUG
rnacentral:rRNA from 1 species